AGAAUCAACGCUGGCGGCGUGCCUAACGCAUGCAAGUCGCACGAGAAAGUGGAGCAAUCCAUAAGUACAGUGGCGCACGGGUGAGUAACACGUGAAUUAUCUACCUCCGAGUGGGGAAUAACUGAGAGAAAUCUUAGCUAAUACCGCAUAACACUUACGAGUCAAAGCAGCAAUGCGCUUGGAGAGGAGUUCGCGGCCGAUUAGUUAGUUGGCGGGGUAAUGGCCCACCAAGACGAUGAUCGGUA
rnacentral:rRNA from 1 species